rnacentral:rRNA from 1 species
AUUGAACGCUGGCGGCAUGCUUUACACAUGCAAGUCGAACGGUAACAGGCCGCAAGGUGCUGACGAGUGGCGAACGGGUGAGUAAUGCAUCGGAACGUGCCCAGUCGUGGGGGAUAACGCAGCGAAGGCUGCGCUAAUACCGCAUACGAUCUAUGGAUGAAAGCGGGGGACCGUAAGGCCUCGCGCGAUUGGAGCGGCCGAUGUCAGAUUAGGUAGUUGGUGGGGUAAAGGCUCACCAAGCCAACGAUCUGUAGCUGGUCUGAGAGGACGACCAGCCACACAGGGACUGAGACACGGCCCAGACUCCUACGGGAGGCAGCAGUGGGGAAUUUUGGACAAUGGGCGCAAGCCUGAUCCAGCAAUGCCGCGUGCAGGAAGAAGGCCUUCGGGUUGUAAACUGCUUUUGUACGGAACGAAACGGUCCUGGUUAAUACCCGGGGCUAAUGACGGUACCGUAAGAAUAAGCACCGGCUAACUACGUGCCAGCCGCCGCAGUAACAC